rnacentral:rRNA from 1 species
GUCAAGUACAAAGAGCAUCGGGUGGAUGCCUUGGCACUGGGAGCCGAUGAAGGACGUGAUAAGCUGCGAUAAGCUGCGGUAAGGAGCACAUAUCCGAUAUACCCGCAGAUUUCCGAAUGGGGGAACCCACAUGCGGUAAUGCGUAUGUAUCAUUAAGUGAAUACAUAGCUUAAUGAAGGGAACGGGGUGAACUGAAACAUCUAAGUAGCCCUAGGAAGAGAAAGAAAAAUCGAUUUCCUGAGUAGCGGCGAGCGAAAGGGAAAGAGGCCAAACCAAAUUGUUUACAGUUUGGGGUUGUGGACCACCGACAUUGACGAAGUUAUGCGAGCCGAAUAGGGUUGGAAAGCUCAAGCAGAGAAGGUAAUACUCCUGUAGGCGAAGCAGAAAGCGCAUAGGUGGCACCAGAGUAGGACCGGACACGUGUAACCCGGUCUGAAGCAGGAGGGACCACCCUCCAAGCCUAAAUACUACCCAGUGACCGAUAGCGAAUAGUACCGUGAGGGAAAGGUGAAAAGAACCCCGGGAGGGGAGUGAAAUAGAAUCUGAAACCUGAUGCUUACAAGCAUAGGGAGCGCAAGUGACCUAGUACUUUUUGUAGAACGGGCCAACGAGUUAUGGUAUGUAGCGAGGUUAAGUUGCUGGAGCAACGGAGCCGUAGAGAAAUCGAGUCUGAAUAGGGCGAGAGUUACAUGCUGUAGACCCGAAACCGGGUGACCUAUCCAUGAGCAGGUUGAAGUAACCGUAAAAGGUUAUGGAGGACCGAACCUAUAUCUGUUGAAAAAGGUUAGGAUGACUUGUGGAUAGCGGUGAAAUUCCAAUCGAACUCGGAUAUAGCUGGUUCUCCUCGAAAUAGCUUUAGGGCUAGCCUCAAGGUAAAGAUACACGGGGGUAGAGCACUGACUGUUCGCGGGGCCUUCACCGGUUACCAACAACUAUCAAACUCCGAAUACCGUGGUAUCAUACUUGGGAGUCAGACUAUGAGAGAUAAGUUCCAUGGUCGAAAGGGAAACAGCCCAGAUCAACAGCUAAGGUCCCAAAGAGUAAGUUAAGUGGAAAAGGAUGUGGGAUUGCACAAACAGCUAGGAUGUUGGCUUAGAAGCAGCCAUACAUUUAAAGAGUGCGUAAUAGCUCACUAGUCGAGUGAUCCUGCGCCGAAGAUAAACGGGGCUCAAACUUACCACCGAAGCUUUGGAAUUAGUAUAACUAAUUGGUAGAGGAGCAUUCUAUACAGGUAGAAGGAGGCGCGUAAGUAAAUCUGGACGGUAUAGAAGAGAGAAUGUUGGCAUGAGUAGCGUAAGGCGGGUGAGAAUCCCGUCCGCCGAAAAUCUAAGGUUUCCUGAGGAAGGUUCGUCCUCUCAGGGUAAGUCGGGACCUAAGCCGAGAGCGAACGCUGUAGGCGAUGGAUAACAGGUUGAUAUUCCUGUACCACCAAGGAUUGUUUGAAUGAAGUGGGGACACAGAAGGAUAGAUUGAGCACGCCGUUGGUUGAGCGUGUCCAAGCAGUAAGGCUUGAAAGUAGGCAAAUCCGCUUUCUAAAAGGCUGAGCUGUGAUGGGGUGGUCGAAUGACCGGUAGCAAUCGAUUUCACGCUGUCAAGAAAAGCCGCUAAUGAGAUCCAAGGUGCCCGUACCGCAAACCGACACAGGUAGAUGAGGAGAGAAUCCUAAGGUGAGCGAGCGAACUAUUGUUAAGGAACUCGGCAAAAUAACCCCGUAACUUCGGGAGAAGGGGUGCCUGCUUCGGCAGGCCGCAGUGAAGAGGUCCAGGCAACUGUUUACCAAAAACACAGGUCUCUGCUAAAGCGAAAGCUGAUGUAUAGGGGCUGACGCCUGCCCGGUGCUGGAAGGUUAAGGGGAAGUGUUAGGGCAACCGAAGCACAGAACUUAAGCCCCAGUAAACGGCGGCCGUAACUAUAACGGUCCUAAGGUAGCGAAAUUCCUUGUCGGGU